rnacentral:rRNA from 1 species
UAUAAGUGAUGGCGACCGGCGCACGGGUGAGUAACACGUAUCCGACCUGCCGAUAACUCGGGGAUAGCCUUUCGAAAGAAAGAUUAAUACUCGAUGGUAUAAUAAAACCGCAUGGUUUAAUUAUUAAAGAAUUUCGGUUAUCGAUGGGGAUGCGUUCCAUUAGGCAGUUGGUGAGGUAACGGCUCACCAAACCUUCGAUGGAUAGGGGUUCUGAGAGGAAGGUCCCCCACAUUGGAACUGAGACACGGUCCAA